rfam:Schistosoma rodhaini strain Burundi genome assembly, scaffold: SROB_contig0001496
AUCCAUCUGACGAGUCCAGAAUAGGACGAAACGCGCGUCCUAAAU